rnacentral:rRNA from 1 species
CCUACGGGAGGCAGCAGUGGGGAAUAUUGCACAAUGGGCGCAAGCCUGAUGCAGCGACGCCGCGUGAGGGAUGGAGGCCUUCGGGUUGUGAACCUCUUUCGCCAGUGAAGCAGGCCUGUCCCUGUGUGGGUGGGUUGACGGUAGCUGGAUAAGAAGCGCCGGCUAACUACGUGCCAGCAGCCGCGGUAAUACGUAGGGCGCGAGCGUUGUCCGGAAUUAUUGGGCGUAAAGAGCUCGUAGGCGGCUGGUCGCGUCUGUCGUGAAAUCCUCUGGCUUAACUGGGGGCUUGCGGUGGGUACGGGCCGGCUUGAGUGCGGUAGGGGAGGCUGGAACUCCUGGUGUAGCGGUGGAAUGCGCAGAUAUCAGGAAGAACACCGGUGGCGAAGGCGGGUCUCUGGGCCGUUACUGACGCUGAGGAGCGAAAGCGUGGGGAGCGAACAGGAUUAGAUACCCCAGUAGUC